GCUAUGUGGGAAGGUGUGACCAGGCAUUGCCUUUCUACUAUAAUGUCCAAAUUGCAAUUUGAAUUUCAAUGGAAAAUUGGACCAGGAAAGACAUUGUUGUUCGAAGGGGAAAAGGAUCAUCUUGUGCCUUCGAUGUCACAAGUCAUUGUAGAUAGUGACCUUUUCUUAGUUGCCGGACGCAUCAUAGGUCAUUCUUUCUUGCACAGUGGUCCAUGUCUGACUGGUCUAAGCCAAGCCAUUCUCCAUGUUUUGAGUGGUGGAAUGCCUGAAAUGUCCUGCGUUGACAUUGAAGACUGCUGUGACACAGAUGUCAGGGAGACAGUCAGACUGCUUGAAGGGUCCACAAUACUGACGGCAGAGCAGAAGCGGUCCAUCCAAGUUGGCACUGGGGUGGGAUCUCCCAGGAGUGACCAAUGAAAACAGGAGAUGGCUACUGGAGAAGCUCCUUUAU